UGCAGUCGAGCGGUAGAGAGAAGCUUGCUUCUCUUGAGAGCGGCGGACGGGUGAGUAAUGCCUAGGAAUCUGCCUGGUAGUGGGGGAUAACGUCCGGAAACGGACGCUAAUACCGCAUACGUCCUACGGGAGAAAGCAGGGGACCUUCGGGCCUUGCGCUAUCAGAUGAGCCUAGGUCGGAUUAGCUAGUUGGUGAGGUAAUGGCUCACCAAGGCGACGAUCCGUAACUGGUCUGAGAGGAUGAUCAGUCACACUGGAACUGAGACACGGUCCAGACUCCUACGGGAGGCAGCAGUGGGGAAUAUUGGACAAUGGGCGAAAGCCUGAUCCAGCCAUGCCGCGUGUGUGAAGAAGGUCUUCGGAUUGUAAAGCACUUUAAGUUGGGAGGAAGGGUACUUACCUAAUACGUGAGUAUUUUGACGUUACCGACAGAAUAAGCACCGGCUAACUCUGUGCCAGCAGCCGCGGUAAUACAGAGGGUGCAAGCGUUAAUCGGAAUUACUGGGCGUAAAGCGCGCGUAGGUGGUUCGUUAAGUUGGAUGUGAAAUCCCCGGGCUCAACCUGGGAACUGCAUCCAAAACUGGCGAGCUAGAGUAUGGUAGAGGGUGGUGGAAUUUCCUGUGUAGCGGUGAAAUGCGUAGAUAUAGGAAGGAACACCAGUGGCGAAGGCGACCACCUGGACUGAUACUGACACUGAGGUGCGAAAGCGUGGGGAGCAAACAGGAUUAGAUACCCUGGUAGUCCACGCCGUAAACGAUGUCAACUAGCCGUUGGGAGCCUUGAGCUCUUAGUGGCGCAGCUAACGCAUUAAGUUGACCGCCUGGGGAGUACGGCCGCAAGGUUAAAACUCAAAUGAAUUGACGGGGGCCCC
rnacentral:rRNA from 1 species